rfam:Leptotrichia hofstadii F0254 genomic scaffold Scfld1, whole genome shotgun sequence.
AAAAGUUAAAAAGCGCCAGUCCUUUAAAAAUAAUUAGGAUAAAAUUAUGGAUAAAGGAGACGAGGGAAAGAGUUAUCGAAAUAAUCGGCGGAUGCUCUUUAGGUGGUUACAACCUUAAUAAUAUACAAAAAUUCUGAGUAAUUGGAGUUACAAAGGUAUUAUAGUAGCAUUUU